AGAGGGAAGAGAUGAGUGAAAGGGAGGGAGGAGAAUCUGCAAGGUGGUGAUUCUGCCUUAUAUCACUGAGCAUCUCUUCGUAAGGAUGCGAUUGUUACAGUUCUAACUGGUUUGCAAAGGUUCAAUUUGAGGUGUUUUAAAGCAGAACCGCGCCAGCACAACUCUGAGUUUCCUCAAUGAGUAUACACUGAAAAAACAACAGGUUUUAAAAGGGAACCGAUAGCAUUGACGGAUCGCUGUACAUUGCCUAAACACACGGCUGAUUUACCUUCUCAAGCUGAGAUAUGGAGAACACAGAGAAUAAAGUAUCCACCAUCUCGCCACAGAAACAGACGGUAAAGAACCGGUCCAAGUCCACAGAUGAAGUACAGCAAGCCAAAAAGGCCUUUCACACCCCACAGAAAUCUCUUCCAGCCAAACCAGAAACUGAGAAGCUAGAGGAGACUGCUGAACUGAACACUUCAUCGGAGGAGUUCAAAUGAUUGUUGGACCCAAACUUGGGGGCUUUGAGUCUUAGACUGAUCAACAGGAAUUAUGGGUAAAAAUAAGAGGAUGACUCAGUGUGUCUGUUUAUACCAUUGUGACUCAGUUUAACAGUGUAGUUGGCAUAAUAACAAGUCAUUUGGAAGACUACCAACAAUAAACUUGUGUAGCUUCUUAAUUUGAUAAUGCAUUAAAAAAUAAACAAAUAAAGAGCUGGAUAUCACAAUGAAUUACGUCUGUAUUGCAUAUGUUACUAUAUAAUAUAACAUAUACUGUAUAUUAAAUAUAUUUU